rnacentral:rRNA from 1 species
UCUACGGGAGGCAGCAGUAGGGAAUCUUCCACAAUGGGCGCAAGCCUGAUGGAGCAACACCGCGUGAGUGAAGAAGGGUUUCGGCGCGUAAAGCUCUGUUGUUGGAGAAGAACGUGCGUGAGAGUAACUGUUCACGCAGUGACGGUAUCCAACCAGAAAGUCACGGCUAACUACGUGCUAGAAGCCGAGGUCAUACGUAGGUGGCAAGCGUUAUCAGGUUUUAUUGGGCGUAAAGCGAGCGCAGGCGGUUGCUUAGGUCUGAUGUGAGAGCAUUCGGCCUAACCGAAGAAGUGCGUCGGAAACCGGGCUACUUGAGUGCAGAAGAGGACAGUGGAACUCCAUGAGUAGCGGUGGAAUGCGUAGAUAUAUGGCAGAACACCAGUGGCGAAGGCGGCUGUCUGGUCUGCAACUGACGCUGAGGCUCGAAAGCAUGGGUAGCGAACAGGAUUAGAUACCCUUGUAGUC